GUAGACAGAGUGAUAUAGAUAUAGUAGACAGAGUGAUAUAGAUAUAAUAGACAGAGUGAUAUAGACAGAGUGAUAUAGAUAUAAUAGACAGAGUGAUAUAGAUAUAGUAGACAGAGUGAUAUAGAUAUAGUAGACAGAGUGAUAUAGAUAUAGUAGACAGAGUGAUAUAGAUAUAGUAGACAGAGUGAUAUAGAUAUAGUAGACAGAGUGAUAUAGAUAUAGUAGACAGAGUGAUAUAGAUAUAAUAGACAGAGUGAUAUAGAUAUAAUAGACAGAGUGAUAUAGAUAUAAUAGACAGAGUGAUAUAGACAGAGUGAUAUAGAUAUAAUAGACAGAGUGAUAUAGAUAUAGUAGACAGAGUGAUAUAGAUAUAAUAGACAGAGUGAUAUAGAUAUAGUAGACAGAAUGAUAUAGAUAUAAUAGACAGAGUGAUAUAGAUAUAGUAGACAGAGUGAUAUAGAUAUAAUAGACAGAGUGAUAUAGAUAUAAUAGACAGAGUGAUAUAGAUAUAGUAGACAGAGUGAUAUAGAUAUAGUAGACAGAGUGAUAUAGAUAUAAUAGACAGAGUGAUAUAGAUAUAGUAGACAGAGUGAUAUAGAUAUAGUAGACAGAGUGAUAUAGAUAUAGUAGACAGAGUGAUAUAGAUAUAAUAGACAGAGUGAUAUAGAUAUAGUAGACAGAGUGAUAUAGAUAUAGUAGACAGAGUGAUAUAGAUAUAGUAGACAGAGUGAUAUAGAUAUAGUAGACAGAGUGAUAUAGAUAUAAUAGACAGAGUGAUAUAGAUAUAGUAGACAGAGUGAUAUAGACAGAGUGAUAUAGAUGUAUUAUAAUAGACAGAGUGAUAUAGAUAUAGUAGACAGAGUGAUAUAGAUAUAAUAGACAGAGUGAUAUAGAUAUAGUAGACAGAGUGAUAUAGAUAUAGUAGACAGAGUGAUAUAGACAGAGUGAUAUAGAUAUAGUAGACAGAGUGAUAUAG